rnacentral:lncRNA from 1 species
CCAUGAUGACUAGUUCAAGGGAGCAACAGAAACAUAGGUUCUUCUAUGCCAGCAGGUGGGGUAGGGGCAAAAGUGUCAAGAGAAGUUUGUGUUUUAUUACUCUCUCUCCAGCUAGGUUAAAUACUUCUUGAAAACAAAUUCUUGAUCUUAUUUGAUCUUGUAUCUGUGUUUGGAAUAUAGCUGGGUAACUCAAAGUUUGGGUUGCUAUUCAUGAGUGGUUGUGAAGUAAAAUUAGUGGGAACUGACCAGUAUGUUAUUUUAAGU